rnacentral:lncRNA from 1 species
CACGCUUGUAAUCCCAGCACUUUGGGAGGCUGAGGCGGGUAGAUCACGAGGUCAGGAGUUUGAGACCAGCCUGGCCAACAUGGUGAAACCCCGUCUCUACUAAAAAUACAAAAAUCAACUGGGCAUGGUGGUGCACACCUGUAAUCCCAGCUACUCAGGAGGCUGAGGGAGGAGAAUCGCUUGAACCCGGGAGGUGGAGGUUGCAGUGAGCCGAGAUCGC